rnacentral:lncRNA from 10 species
AACUCGGUCUGGUCCCCUUCCAGAGUGUGGGAGCUUAGUUCUUUCGGUCUUUGCAAUAAAUCUUGCUGCUGCUUACUCUUUGGGUCCACACCGCCUUUAUGAGCUGUAACACUCACUGUGAAGGUCUGCAGCUUCACUCCUGAGCCAGUGAGACCACGAACCCACCAGAAGGAAGAAACUCUGAACACAUCCGAACAUCAGAAGGAACAAACUCUGGACGCGCCGCCUUUUUAAGAACUGUAACACUCACUGUGAGGGUCCGCGGCUUCAGUCUUGAAGUCAGUGAGACCAAGAACCCACCGAUUCCGGACACACUUUCAGAAUGUGACGAGGACCUGAGGGUCUGGAAAUAACUGGGAAAGAAAAGCCUUGUGGAAAGAAGACAUCUCCAGGGAAAACAUGCUGCUUCUUCAAAGACUCCAAUUUCAGAUGGCAAAAUGCAUGGAAGCUGAGAUGGACCUUCUGGAGUUUUCGAUAAACCACUGUAGCUCAGUCAGAGGUCCAAUUAUGAUGAUACCCACACAGCCCGGUCCUCCCACAGCCUACAUC